ACAGUAGGUAUAACAGAAAAACUAAACGCUUUUACUUGUGUGCAUAGACAUACCGGCCGCCAUGUUGCUAGCAGAGUAUCACGCCAGUCGCGGCACGGUGUAUCGGUUGACAAGGCGUAACGUGUUUUCGCGAGCGAAUCAUGGUACGAAAAUAUGAAAAGAAGGGUACGCGAAUUACAUGGAGAAAAUUCUAGAAGGUCAUUUUAAUAAAACGCAAUAGUAUCAAAUAUUGUAAACACAUUGUCAGCAAUAAUUUUUUUAUAUAAACGAAAGAAUGUAAACACCUUAGUAAUGUUUAUAUAGUUAGUACAGUUAAUUCGCUUGAGAGAAUAAUUGUAACCAUUCAAUAAUACAAGAUUAAUAGUAAUUUUUGUAUUAAAUAAAUUUUUAAAAAUAAUUUUUUAUUACCGAAAAUUAUAUUUGGCGCAGUCAGUAGGAUAGUGCGGUCGCGAGUUUUACGCAAAGUGUGAUAAAAGUUCGGAUUAAGUACUUCAGUACCUCAGCACUAAAUCCACGAGCUCUGCGAAGGACAGGACUUCAAAUAAUUGUAAGUGCCAAGUUCCCUUAUUUUUAUUCCUUUUUAUUAUCUAUCCUUAUUGAUUCUGAGUAAGGAAGAGAUAAUUUAUUAAUUUUAAUUUUUUUUAUCAAGUAUAUGAAAGAUUUGGAUACUUUAUUAAAUACAUUUUGUGAUUUAAACUUAGUAGAUAAUCCAGAUUACGCAAAAAUGGCAACAGCUAAUCCAAAAACCCUUAAUUGGUUUAAUUAUUUAAACUAAAAUUAGACAAUAUAAAACCAUAUGAUGGUAAUAUAAAUACAUUGAAUAAAUUUAUUAAUAGAUGUGAGAAAUGGAAUGUAUCCAAGAAAAAUUAAUUGAUAAAGCAGAAAUGAUGGUAAGAAAUAGGAUUGAACUAAAUGCAUAGUUCAAAUUAAAAAAAGCUCUAAUACAAUGUUUAUGAAUUCGAAAACUUCGAGAAACUCUAUGGCCAAUUUUACGAGCCCAGAGUUAAGUACAAUAAUAAUAAUAAUUUUAAAACUAAUUCAAUGGAAAAUAUUAGAAAUAAUCAAUAUAAUAAUAAAAAAUGCACAAGUAUUUGGCACAAGAAAAAAUGUUUUCCGGCCAAAUCAAAUACUUGUAAAUCGACUACCAAAACCAGAACCGAUGUCUACAACAUUAAGAAAUUUUUCAGAUAAACCCAGUAGACAUGUAAAUAUUAAUCGCAAUAAUUAUUAUAAUAACAAUAAUAAUUAUUAGUAUAAAAAUUUCCAAUCAAGAAAUCAAAAACCAAAUUUUACAUCUGAGGAAUUAUACAAUAAUAAUUGUAACGAUAAUGAAGAAGAAGAAAAAAUAAUUGAUUUUCAGAAUUUAUUUGAGCCAGAUGAAAAUAAUGAUCAGACUGUGAAUUUUCGAAAAGAGCCUCGAAAGAAAAAUUAAAAAUAAUUGAAAUAAAAACCGUAACAAACAAUCCGUUGUCAUAUAUUGAAAUUAAAAAUUCAAAAUUAAAAUUAUUAAUAGAUACAGGAAGUAACAAAUCAAUAUUAAAGCCUUCAAUUGUUGAAUAACAUCAUCCUCUAUGUAUACAUCAUUCAAAUGUAAAGAUUCGAACAUCGCUAACCAGUAUAAUAAUUAGAGCUAGAUCUCAGUAAAUUAUUUGAUGAAGAAGAAAAAGAUAAAUGUAACAGAAAAGAAUUCAGAAGAAAAUAUUAUAAUGGUAAGAGAAAUGAAUAAUAAUACAAAAGGAGAAUUAGAAGUAGAAUUAUUUGAUAAAGUGGAAUUAAACAUAGAAUUAAAAUAUACAGGAUUAGAUGAAUUAAAAAUGAAUGAAAAUGACAAUGAAAUUGAACUAAAAGAAAAUGUAAUAGAAUUAAAUAGAAAAAUAAAUGAAAUAAAUAAUGAUAUAACAAUGGAAGAAAAAGAUAUAAAUGAUGUUAUAAAAAUAGAUAAUGAUAUAUUACAAGAAGAAUGUUAUGCUAUAAAACCUGAAUUAAAUACAAAUAUAUUGGAUAUACAAAAUCAAAAUAAUAUGAUUAAUAAAAGAGACAUGAAUAAUGAAAAUGAGAAAAUGGUUAUUAAUUAUGAAAUAAUUAACAAACAAAUUGUUAAGAAUAAUACUAAUAUAAGUUUAAAAUAUUUCAAUAGAAAAUUAAUCGCUAUGCUAAAUGACAAAAUAAUAGAAGAACAAUUUUGGAAAAAUAAAUAUUAUCAUUCAUUAAAAUGGUACGCAAUUCAAGAAAUUAUAAAAUUGAUUUUUAUACAAAGACCUUUCUUUUUUAUUAUUAUUACGUUAUAAGAAUAGAUAAGAUUUAGAAUUAAUAGAUAAGGGGCCAUCCAUAAAUUACGUCACACAAAUUUCAGGACUUUUUAACCCCUCCCCCCUCCUUGUCACAGGUUGUCACAAUUUCAAAACCCCCUCCCCCCUGAUGUGACGUCACACAUUUUUCAAAUUUAUAUAUUUAUUCAAAAAUAAUCAAAAGAAAACAGUUAUUUUUAUUUUUUUCUUACUUUUAUUAUAUAAUCUUUGAUAAAAUUAACAUAAAGAAGUCAAAUAUUUUAGACAACAGAAAAACAAACGAUUAGUUAGGAAGCAACAAACGACUCAUUAAAUUUUGCGUGAUGAAUUUUGAAUUUUAACAUGUGAUGUCACAAAGUUUUUGACCCCCCCUGCCCCUUGUCACACUAUGUCACAUUCCGAUGAUACCCUCCCCCCCAUUAACAUGUGACGUAAUUUAUGGAUGACCCCUAAUAAAUAAGUAAAAUAUAAAAAAAAUUAGUAAACUUUUAGAAACUAGAAUAAUAAAAAGUUAUUAUUAAUUAGAAUAUAUAUAAGAAAUUUAAUAAUAUGAUUCAUAACUUUGUUUAUUUAACUAAUGGAAAAAGAAAAUAAUAUAAAAAUUUAAAUUAUAAUCAAUAAAGCAUAAAUGAAACGUUCAAAACAAUUUCAAUAACUUUAAAUGAACCUCUUAAAAUUUAUUCUUUAUAAAUAAGCCAAUAUGAAUAAUUAUUUGAAAAAGGACGAAAAAAAUAAUUGGCGAAAAUAUAAUUGGCAAUCAACACGAAAAAGAUAUAAGUAAAUUAAUUCGAACCAAUCACAUGAAUAUUUAUUCACUGUAUAAAUGUUGUCAAAGAUAUUUUAAGCGAAGAAGAACCAAAAGAAAAAUUAGAAUACUAUCACAUAUACAAAAAAGGACACAGAGGAAUUAACGAAUUAAAGAAAUCAUUAACUGAAAAAUAUUAUUGGCCUAAAAUGUUACAAGAUAUAGAAAAUUUUGUGAAUUGUGAAAUAUGUCAAAAGAAUAAAUAUGAUAGAAAUCCCCCAGUAAUUAAAUUUAAUUUAACCCCAACAGCUAACAAACCAUUCGAACAUAUACAUAUAGACACUUUUAAAAUAGCUAAUCACUCGUAUUUAACAUUUAAGAUGUUUAAGAGAAACUAAUAAAGAUUUAACGCCUGAUCAAUUAAUUAAACACUCAAUAUUGGCAUUGGCAACACAAUUUACACUAUUCGAAAUUAUUAAAGGCCACAUAAAUAAUCCUGAUCCUUUUGAUUUAGACGAUCAUUUAAUAAUAUCUAAUUAUAUACAAAAUCAUAAAGAAACCUCAAAAUUACUAUAUGAAAAAAUUAAAGAUAGGAAUGCCGAUAUCAAAGAAAAAAUAAUUAAUAAGAGAAAUGAGAAUAGAAAUGAUCCCCCUUCUUAUGCAAAUCAAGAUACAGCUUAUAUAAAGACAAAAUUUCGAGAUAAAAAAUUACCUAAAUUUAAAAAGGCACAAAUCGUAAAAGAUUCUGUAUAUUAUUAGAAACAAAUAAAGGAACUUAUCACAAAAACAUAAUCAGAAAAUCUAAAACUUACACUAAAAAUUUGUAAUAGAAAAAUGAAACUAACAACGAUAAUAAUAUUACUACUACUUUACAAGAAGAUUAAAACAGAAGAUGUAGAAAUUACGAAAGUAAACAAUUUAUUAUUACCUAUCAAUUUAGGAACCAGUAACCUUAUUUAUACUAAGUAUACUGUAUAUAUACUAAGUAUAUAUUAUAUAGACCUAGAAUAUAUUCAUAAACAGAUUAAUAAUUAAAAACAAUUUUAUUAUAGUUUAAAAAAUAAUUUAUCUCAAGCGAGCGCUACAAAUCCUAUUUCAUAUCAUAAUUUAGCUGAACAAUCACUAAGUAGAACAGAAAUUUUAAUUAAUACUUUAGAUAAAAAAUCAGAGAACAUUUAUCCAGAUUAAAAAGAGGAUUAAUAAAUGCAGUAGGCAAAAUAGAUAAAUGGCUUUUUGGAACUCUAGAUUCAGACGACGAAGAAAGAUAUGAUAAUGCUAUAAAUGUUUUACAACAAAAUCAAAAACAAAUAAUUCAUGAAGUAAAUUUGCAAAUAUCGUUACACAAAAAAUUAAUUGAUCAUUAUAAUAAAUCGAUUACGAUUCUAUGGUACAAUCAACAGAAACUUUCUGAUAAUUUAGAGAAAUUUUACAUUUCGAUAGAAAAUAAAAUAAUAACUUUGAAUAAUUUUAUAACAUUUUACAGUAAAAUUUCACAGAUUAAUCUGGAUUGUCAAAGUUUAAUUACAUUGAUUGAUAAUAUUGAAAACGCAAUAACAUUUUCUAAAUUAAAUACUAUUCAUAGAUCAGUAAUAUCUAGUCAAGAAAUUUUAGAAAUGAUGGAAUAUUGAAAUACUAUUUAUAAAGAAGAACAAAUCCCAACAUUUAAUAAUAUUUUAACGUAUUAUCUCUUUCUGGGCUCACAAGUAACCUUUUCCAAAUCCAAAAUAAUUUUUGCUACCCAUGUUCCAAUCUUGAAACCUAAAACCUAUGAAUUUUUCCAUUUAUACCCUAUAAUCCAAAAUAAUACAAUAUUUAUCCCUCCUCAACCUUACUUGGCCAGAAAUCAAGAAGAUGUUAUUUUUAUCAAAGAAGAAUGUCCAGUGCUAGAAAAAUUUAACCAACAGACUUUGAAAAAUUAUAUGAAAUAAAUAAAAUAGCUAGAAAUAUAAAGCCAAUCCAUGAAAUUUACAAUUCACAAAACCAUGUAUCAAUAGGACUAUUUACAAUAAUUAUAAUCAUUUGUAUAAUUUUAAUAAUGUUAUGGUUAAUUCAAAAAUAUAAAAGAAAAUUUAUAAGAAAACAGAAAUUUGAAGAAGACAUCGAAUUCUAGAAGGUCAUUUUAAUAAAACGCAAUAGUUUCAAAUAUUGUAAACACAUUGUCAGCAAUAAUUUGAUUAUAUAAACGAAAGAAUGUAAACACCUUAGUAAUGUUUAUAGUUAAUUCGCUUGAGAGAUUAAUUGUAACCAUUCAAUAAUACAAGAUUAAUUGUAAUUUUUGUAUUAAAUAAAUUUUUAAAAA